GGAGAUGACUCUCUUACAUCCGACACAAGGAUAAUAGCGCUAUAAAAGAAAUCCGAAAUUUUGGUCUAGCACUUCCGGUCUCCGGAGAGAUGCUCGGUUCGUAUCAAACAAGUCAUAUAAGCCGAGAACCUAUCGCGGACUUUACAUCGAUACGAAUCAGGAAGAAAUCGCGACAGGAAAAAACGAUAGCCGGUUAGUCACCGCACAAUCCUUAAACCGAAAGUAAACCUAGGUCUUGCCCUAAACCCAGCGCACUGGUCUCUAACAUCUCAAAGACAUGAUAUCGAAAGAUAAGAGAUUCUUAAACCAUGCCCUAUGUUUAUGUUCGACACCUUCAGCACCCCCGCAGAGUUCACAUCUCGCGGAAGAACUCUCGAAACAGAUCUCGAAUGAAACAUUUCACAAUCGAAGAAGGAUAUGAGACGACAACUCAUCACCUUCCUCCCCACUAUUCACAAACUCAUAAAAAAGCGUUAUCCGAUUAUCGUACUAUAAAAAGAAAGCGGUGGAGCGGCAGGGAUUCAAAGCCACACACGGCCAGUCCCGAAAUACAAACAAGGCCAUUCAAGGCCGAAACAUAAAAAAAAAAAAUCUCUCGCAAGAGAUCUAACCCAAGUCACCCUCAGAACUUACGCCCCCUCUUCACCCGCUGCCUCAUCCGAGCCUGGAGCCGCGCCGCUUCCGUUCUCUCCGACCAUCGGGUCUUUCCCCUCUGGGUCUUCUGAACACGUCGGAAGGAAGCACGCGGAUUUCAGGUCGGCCAGGAUGAGACCGAAAUCUCCAUCCUCGGCCGCCAUAUCUCCCUUGCAGCCGGACAGUCGGGCCUCUUCGGCCUCCAAGGUCGGGGGAGUCUCACUUUGGAACGACCGAACCACGGCCAUCCCGCCCUCAAUCGUCGCCAAAGCGAAAUCCCUGCUCCGGAUACACUCGAGGGAACCCAGGGAAGCAGAAAUUUUCGCCAAGCGAGCUUGAAACUCCGCACGAAGGGCAUCCGUAGCCUCUUG
rnacentral:lncRNA from 1 species